rnacentral:rRNA from 1 species
CGCUGGCGGCAGGCCUAAUACAUGCAAGUCGAACGGCAGCACAGCAGAGCUUGCUCUGUGGGUGGCGAGUGGCGGACGGGUGAGGAAUACAUGGGAAUCUGCCCAGUCGUGGGGGAUAACGUAUGGAAACGUACGCUAAUACCGCAUGCGCCCUACGGGGGAAAGCCGGGGACCGCAAGGCCUGGCGCGAUUGGAUGAGCCCAUGUUCGAUUAGCUAGUUGGCGGGUAAAGGCCCACCAAGGCGACGAUCGAUAGCUGGUCUGAGAGGAUGAUCAGCCACACUGGAACUGAGACACGGUCCAGACUCCUACGGGAGGCAGCAGUAGGGAAUAUUGGACAAUGGGGGGCAACCCUGAUCCAGCCAUGCCGCGUGAGUGAAGAAGGCCCUCGGGUUGUAAAGCUCUUUUGUCCGGAAAGAAAAGCAAUCGGUUAAUACCCGGUUGUUCUGACGGUACCGGAAGAAUAAGCACCGGCUAACUUCGUG